rnacentral:rRNA from 1 species
GAGUAACGCGUUGGUGACCUACCCCGAAGAGAGGAAUAACUCCGGGAAACUGGAGCUAAUACCUCAUGUGGUUACCAGGUUAGAGGCCUGGCAACUGAAGGAGCAAUCCGCUUUGGGAGGGACCUGCGUCCCAUCAGCUCGUUGGUAGGGUAACGGCCUACCAAGGCUACGACGGGUAGGGGGCCUGAGAGGGUGGCCCCCCACACUGGCACUGAAACACGGCCCAGACACCUACGGGUGGCAGCAGUAGGGAAUAUUGCACAAUGGGCGAAAGCCUGAUGCAGCAACGCCGCGUGCGCGAUGAAGACCUUCGGGUCGUAAAGCGCUUUUCUGAAGGACGAGGACAGGACGGUUACUUCAGGAAUAAGGAUCGGCUAACUACGUGCCAGCAGCCGCGGUAAUACAUAGGAUCCGAGCGUUAUCCGAAUUUAUUGGGCGUAAAGAGCGCGUAGGCGGCCUAUUAAGUCGGUUGUGAAAUCUCUUGGCUUAACUGAGAGAGGUCAACCGAAACUGGUAGGCUUGAGGACAGCAGAGGGAAGUGGAAUUCCCGGUGUAGUGGUGAAAUGCGUAGAUAUCGGGAGGAACACCGGUGGCGAAGGCGGCUUCCUGGGCUGUUCCUGACGCUGAGGCGCGAAAGCGUGGGUAGCAAACAGGAUUAGAUACCCUGGUAGUCCACGCCGUAAACUAUGGACACUAGGUAUGGGGGGUAUCGACCCCCUCCGUGCCGAAGUUAACGCUAUAAGUGUCCCGCCUGGGGAGUACGGCCGCAAGGCUAAAACUCAAAGGAAUUGACGGGGGCCCGCACAAGCAGCGGAGCGUGUGGUUUAAUUCGACGCAACGCGAAGAACCUUACCAAGACUUGACAUAUACCUGAAAGGCAGAGAAGUCUGCCCCUCCUUCGGGACGGGUAUACAGAUGCUGCAUGGCUGUCGUCAGCUCGUGCCGUGAGGUGUUGGGUUAAGUCCCGCAACGAGCGCAACCCUCGUUGUCAGUUGAUUUCUCUGGCAAGACUGCCCUUUAGAAGGGGAGGAAGGUGGGGAUGACGUCAAGUCAGCACGGCUCUUACGUCUUGGGCUACACACACGCUACAAUGAGUAGUACAGAGGGUUGCCAAGGAGCGAUCCGGAGCUAAUCCCAUCAAACUACUCCCAGUUCGGAUUGGAGGCU